AGCUGGUUUCCGAGCGUUUUCGGCGUGAACGGCCGCUUCUCGAGCGCCUUCUGACCGGCGCACCGCCGGACGACGAGACGGCUGCGGCUGCCCGGCAAGCGUUCGACCGGCGGAGCCGACGCGUUCGCGCGGCGGUUGCUCGGUUCGCGGGGGUUUUGUCAGACGAUCGUCGGGACGCGACAAUGGAUUCGCUGGCAAUUUCGUACAUUCAUAU
rnacentral:misc_RNA from 1 species